rnacentral:rRNA from 1 species
AUGAACGCUGGCGGCGUGCCUAAUACAUGCAAGUCGAGCGAACAGACGAGGAGCUUGCUCCUCUGACGUUAGCGGCGGACGGGUGAGUAACACGUGGAUAACCUACCUAUAAGACUGGGAUAACUUCGGGAAACCGGAGCUAAUACCGGAUAAUAUAUUGAACCGCAUGGUUCAAUAGUGAAAGACGGUUUUGCUGUCACUUAUAGAUGGAUCCGCGCCGCAUUAGCUAGUUGGUAAGGUAACGGCUUACCAAGGCGACGAUGCGUAGCCGACCUGAGAGGGUGAUCGGCCACACUGGAACUGAGACACGGUCCAGACCCCUACGGGAGGCAGCAGUAGGGAAUCUUCCGCAAUGGGCGAAAGCCUGACGGAGCAACGCCGCGUGAGUGAUGAAGGUCUUCGGAUCGUAAAACUCUGUUAUUAGGGAAGAACAAAUGUGUAAGUAACUAUGCACGUCUUGACGGUACCUAAUCAGAAAGCCACGGCUAACUACGUG